rnacentral:misc_RNA from 1 species
UUAUUUUUAUCUUUCAUUGAACAAAUUUAGGUACUUUAAAAACCUCAAAAUGUAACUAUUUUAAAAAAAAAUCUAGGGGUAAUUCUUUUGUGUAUUUUUGAUAACAGACAAAUUGAUUAUGGUUGAACGAGACUAGAGUUCAAUAUUGCUUGGAUCCAGACGUGUACAAUUUUUAGAAACAUUUCGAUUACUGAUACACAGUUUGAUGGAAUUAAUUCUAUCUUCAAAUAUUACACAACAUGAUUCAUGUGGGGUUUUCUCGAAAUUCUUGUCGGAAAAGUUCGAGAAUUCAUAUUAUAAAAAAUUGCAUAACAUAUUGUUGAUUUUAAAAUUGAUAAUAAUCAAUAAAAUCAACUCCCAACAGUACUUCAGUACUUUGAUUAAUGGCUCGUCAUUUUAGUGCCACUUUUUAAAACCCAAAACUUAGUUGUUGAAUGACGUUAAGAGUAGGAAGUGUUCCUGAUUGACAAUGGGUUUUUUGGUAGAUAUUAUUCAUUUUUUAUGGAUUGUUAUAUAUGUUUCCUUUUACUUCAUGAUGUCUUUCAUACAUUUUUAGGGGUAUUAUAAUGUUGUAAUUUGUUAUACUACAGAUUGUUUGUACUGGCAAUGCCUUGAAAUUGACAAAUGACUACAAUUAUUUACUACCUCAUUGCUGUUCAAAUGAUUUCAACAUGUAUACUACAUGCAUACAUUUUUUUUAUCUUUUCCAUGCAUGUUAACCAUUGCAAACAAAUAAAAAAGCUUUUCAU